GGGGACGGCGAGACCCGGCGGGGCGGGGCGCCGAGAGCGCCCCGAGGGGUGCGGGGGUGUCAGCGUGCACGCGCCGCCCCGCGAACGUUCCCGCCACCCACCCACCCCCAGCCGGGCGCGCGGACCCCACGCCGCGCGCACGUGGUCCAGCCUCGCCUGCUGGAGCGAGCGGCGCGCCGCCUCGGGGCCGCGCGCUAGAGGGGAGGAGAGCCCGGGUCGGUGUCUUGCCAUCCCUCCUCCACUUCUUUAGCUCUGCAUCCCGGCUUCUAGGGGUGGGGGCAGGGAUUAAACAAGUUCAGCGCCCCUUGGGAUGCCUUCCCUACUCCCUGGUCUUGUUAGACACCCUGUUUACCUGCCCCUAAUUGCCCCGCGGGGAGAGGUUUGCUCCUUCCCUGCUCCCCCGCCGCCCACCCCAGCAGGCUCGAGCAGGCGGGGCACUGAAGGAGUGACAGAGAAGGGUCGGAAUGCGCCCCGGAGGCGGUGCUCACCCAGCUGCCUUUCUGUGAGGCUAGGCCCCGCCCUGUAGAGGAAACUGAGGUCACCUGUCCCAAUAGCUCUGGCCAUGGCUUACUGCUUGCUGGAAUGGGCAGUGCCCCAGCAAGAGGCCACUUCGGAGCAGGGCUGGAAACCCAGAUGUUUUUCCCAUUCCCGCACCACUCCGCGCCACCAUCGAGGGCAUUAAGAC